rnacentral:tRNA from 1 species
GGAGUUGUGGCUCAGUGGUAGAGUGCUCGUCUUACAUGCGUGAGGCACCGGGUUCAAUCCUCAACACCA